rnacentral:lncRNA from 1 species
GGAGUUCUUAACUGGCCAACACUCCGCUCCAUACAGCAAGGCCGGACGGACUACCACCCUAUAGAAUUUACCUUUAAGCUUGGGCGGCACCUUCUUAUCACACAGCACCCCCGAUGCAAGUUUCCACUUCAUCCAUCCCGCCCCGAUACGGUGCGAGACAUCCUCGUCAAUCUCACCGUUACUCUGGAUCACGGACCCGAGGUACUUGAACUUAUCCCUUUUCUUUACCUCCUGCGCUUCAAGCCUCACCACUACCUCAUUCUCUCGCCUUACGUCAUUAAACUUACAUUCCACAUACUCUGUCUUGGUUCUGCUCACCCUGAACCCUUUA